rnacentral:rRNA from 1 species
CAGUCGCCGCGGUAAUACGUAGGUCCCGAGCGUUGUCCGGAUUUAUUGGGCGUAAGGGGAGCGCAGGCGGUUUAGUAAGUCUGAAGUUAAAGGCAUUGGCUCAACCAAUGUAUGCUUUGGAAACUGUUAGACUUGAGUGCAGAAGGGGGGAGUGGAAUUCCAUGUGUAGCGGUGAAAUGCGUAGAUAUAUGGAGGAACACCGGUGGCGAAAGCGGCUCUCUGGUCUGUCACUGACGCUGAGGCUCGAAAGCGUGGGUAGCGAACAGGAUUAGAUACCCCUGUAGUCCCUGUCUCUUAUACC